UACAGAGGGUGCGAGCGUUAUCGGAAUUACUGGGCGUAAAGAGCUCGUAGGCGGCUCUGCGCGGUCGCUGUGAAAACUCGGGGCUCAACUCCGAGCUUGCAGUCGAUACGGGCAGGCUAGAGUUCGGGAGGGGAGACUGGAAUUCCUGUGGUAGGCGGUGAAAUGCGGCAGAUAUCAGGAGGAACACCGGUGGCGAAGGCGGGUCUCUGGGCCGAUACUGACGCUGAGGAGCGAAAAGCGUGGGGGAGCGAACAGG
rnacentral:rRNA from 1 species